rnacentral:tRNA from 1 species
GGAGGGGUGACAGAGCCUGGUUUAUUGUGGCGGUCUUGAAAACCGCUGUGGGGUUACACCCACCGUGGGUUCAAAUCCCACCCCCUCCGCAA